AACAAUACUGACAGGGGGACAUCUUCUGCCUUAGUGGCCAAGGCAGCUUUAGGAAGAUCCAAAAUCAAAGUAAGGAGCAAGACAGGCCGGAGCUUGUCUGGAACAUAAGAUGGGGGAAAUGUCACUUAAUUAGGAAAGAAGCUGGUAACUGGGCUAAAUGCCUCCUUCUUACUCCACCAACCACAUCAUAGAACAAGCUACAGCAGAGAAGCUUUAGGAGCUCCUUUCCUUUCCACUUCGUGAUGCAAGGCAUUCUCAGAGCAGUUAGCAGUCACUCAAGCUGGAUGGUUAUUCACCGAUCUUGGAGGACACCGACAAGGAGUCAAGCACACAGUCUACAUCCUGAGCAGCAACACUCCUGAAAGCACCUCCCACGGAGACUGUGGCCAUAGAGGAUAAAAAGUUCUAGAACAGAAGAAUUUUGCAGCACAAUCUAAUAUAAUGUUGAUAAAAAUUCUGAAAGAGCACAACUCCAUGGGAGCUUUAAGGCAAUCUUCAGGACAAAGAAAAUUGUGGCUGUGCAUCCCAGCACGUGAGUGAGUUUAUCAAAUACAAGGCAGCAGCCAGAACAACAGGAAAUUGCAUGAGAAAGCCCAGCUCCUGGUUGGCAGAAGGGCGUUAACCUCUCCUUCAUGUCACUGAGUUUAAUACUCCAAUUUUGCAGUAAAAGCGUCUUCCCCGAGCCCGGGUUCAUAAA